GAUGAACGCUGGCGGCGUGCUUAACACAUGCAAGUCGAACGAAGCAUUUGCGACAGAUUUUUUCGGAAUGAAGUUGCUUAUGACUGAGUGGCGGACGGGUGAGUAACGCGUGGGUAACCUGCCUUGUACUGGGGGAUAGCAGCUGGAAACGGCUGGUAAUACCGCAUAAGCGCACAAUGUUGCAUGACAUGGUGUGAAAAACUCCGGUGGUAUAAGGUGGACCCGCGUCUGAUUAGCUAGUUGGUGAGAUAACAGCCCACCAAGGCGACGAUCAGUAGCCGACCUGAGAGGGUGACCGGCCACAUUGGGACUGAGACACGGCCCAGACUCCUACGGGAGGCAGCAGUGGGGAAUAUUGCACAAUGGAGGAAACUCUGAUGCAGCGACGCCGCGUGAGUGAAGAAGUAAUUCGUUAUGUAAAGCUCUAUCAGCAGGGAAGAUAGUGACGGUACCUGACGAAGAAGCUCCGGCUAAAUACGUG
rnacentral:rRNA from 1 species